GCCGGGUGCGCUGGCACAUGCCUGUAAUCCCAGUGGCUUGGGAGGCUGAGACAGAUGGAUUGUGAGUUCAAAGUCAGUCUCAGCUAUGGUGAGGCAUUAAGCAACUCAGUAAGACCCUGUCUCUA
rnacentral:sRNA from 1 species